rnacentral:sRNA from 1 species
AAGAGAGAGACUGGCUAAUAGGAAAUCUGUGAUUAUUCCCAAGCAUACAGUGGGUGUUUAUGGAAUGUAUUUGGCUGACUGUGUCUUGCUGUGUCAUCAGGGAUGGCCUCAACUUGCAAUGUACUCCAGGACAAAAGAAAGGUAGUCUGGGG